UAUUGAACUCCCCCAAUCAUGAGUUUUGACUCGAAAGAAGAUUUUGAUGAUGACAGAUACUAAAUUAAAUUUUGGCUCAAAUUGUAUUGAAAAUUGCAGUUCGGAGCAAUUUUUAUGAGGAAGAAGGAUGAAUCCUAAACAUAUCUCAUCCUCCAAGUAUAAAUGCUGUUGUGGAGCUACUUAAACAAGAUAUUGCAACAUGCAUAAAUUCACUUGGAAAUUAUUCAUGUCAAUGUCCCCAAGGAUAGAAACAUGAAGGCAUGGAUGAAAAGAGUUGUAUCAAAGACAACAAAUGGUCAAAGGCCAUUCUCCUCAUUAUUUCAUUAGAUCAAAGAAGGAAGUUCAAUUUAUCAAGGAUCAAGGUUUGGACUACUAGACAGCACACCGGCUUUGGUUUGAGGUAUGGAAGUCUCGAGCUUGCAAUCUUAAAUUUCUGGCUCCUGAAUAAGAAAUAUGCUCUAUUUGAUCCCGAAUAAGAAAUGACAUAGGUCUGUGGCUUCCAUCGUUAUUAAGUUGUAUCCUUUUCUACUUGGGUUACAAAAAACCAUUAUAAUGAAUUAAUCAAAUUUUUUAUUCUAAGGAAGUAUGUAUUCAACAUUGUUUUUUUCUGAACAAUUUCAAUUAAUAUAACUAUGACCAUUUGUCUACUAUUUUAUAUCUUCUGUUUUGUUUCCUUUUUGAAGACUCCCAUUGCCAUGUUGGUCUCUUGCUGCUAAUUGAUUUAGUUGGGGUGUCUUAACAAGAGUGUUGUCUUUACGGAGUCUUUUUUUUCUGUGGUGUUACAUUUUACGGGUUGGUGUUACUUUAUGAAUUUGUAGUUAGUAAGAUUUAACAAUGCCUUUUUUUGUUUGCUUUACUUUGUUACAUCUUGAUAAACAUAGGUUCAGCAACAGGUUGUUGAAAUGAUCACUUAUAUAGCCUCUACUACAGAACAAUUUCCUAAUAAAUGUGUAUUACUUUGUCUUCUGGGUGAGCGUUCUCUAAUUUAGAUUAGACAACAAGACUUGAAGCUUGGUUUGUUUUCUGUGUCUCCUUCACUCUAUCUGUUCUGUGAAUGAACAGGUAGAUGUCAACUCUAGCAGUUAACGGUGUUGUGCACCUUGACAGGUAUAGGUAUAUGUGAAUGGCUCACAGGGUUUUUCUGAAUCUGUAAGUCCAGGAUUUAUUUUUGAAAGGGUAAGUGGUGUGAUUCUUUUAAUUCUCAUCUUCAGUUCAAAAGUUUGUGUGCAAAGUUUUUUGUUGCAGUUUUAUUCUUCUGUAUGCAUUAUGUUUAUCUUGAAGUAAAGGUUGCUAAUCUUUUAUUUCUGAGUGUGUGCUACUCGGUCUCCAAUCAUUGUUCAUAUUUUUCGAGGGUAUAAAUGGGAAGGCAAAAUGCAUUCCAAUAACUCGGAAUUCAACCUCCACCAAAUUGUAAGGAAUCCAAUUCCUCCAAAUUUUGGAGUUGGAUUCCAAAAUUUGCAUGAUCUCCCAAAUUUUUUAUUCCCCAAUAUUGGGUAAACACCGGAGUAGUCUGUAAUCGACUUUCAAUUGCUUUUUUUUGUUCCGAUUACCCUUACAUAAAUGUAUUUAUGAUCUUUUAGUUUCAAGAGCCCAACUGUUGUUGCAAAAUGUGCUAUAGAUGGAGCAACUAAUGUCUUUCUUACUUAUUGUUGGGCUCUUCUAUCUUUAUGUGAGGCAUUUUGUACUAUUGCUUUUGUAACGUUGGGAUGUUUCAAGAUUUAUGACUUUGUGCGUUCUCUCUCUCUACACACUUUCUUCCCUUGCUCCUUCUCUCAUGUAGAGCCAUUUUAUGGUACAAUGUGUUUAUCGGUUCUCAUGUCCAAGUUUUUCUUUCUGCUUUCAAUUAAGUUUUGUUUUUAUGUUAUGUUUUCAUGGAAUCUCUUGCACAGAUUUCAAUUACGUUGUACUUGAAUGUCCUGAACUCAAGUCAAUUAGGAUUUUUUUUUUUGGUUGAAACCAUUGAAUUUUGUUGUACUUGAAUGAUAUAGAUGUGGGGAAUACAUUUGCAUAAGGAUUAAUUUUAACCAUUGAAUUUUAUUUCAUUUUUCCUUGGAGCUUGAGUAACAAGAUCAUCAAAUUGUUAUAUUCGUUAUCUGUGAGAAUAAAUCUACAUGCAUAACAAUAUUGUUACACUUCUACUUUUAUUGGGUUUUUAUACAGUUUGUGUGUUUGCUUAGUCUUGCCUUGGAGUUGGAUCCACUUUGUGUAAUGGAUUGUGAUUUGUUUGAAAAUAUCUUUACUGAUGAUUUUGAGUAUAAUGUGUUUUUCUAAUACUGUUUCUCGCCCUUUGUAAUCCAGUUGUGCAAAAGACAUCUCCAUUAACCGGUAAUAGCUGAAAUCGUUUGUUGUCGAAGUUCACGUGCAGAAGAGCGAAAAUGCUGCAAGUGAAGGAUAGAUAACAGCUCAAGACACAUGGUAUGAGGGUGCAGGUAAAUUGUACAUAUGCAUCUGGAAAAAGUUAAAAGUUAAGGCGGGUUGGCUAUAACUUCUCCUUCUCGCCACAACAGGAAAUACUUUUGAACUGCAUUAAGAUGUUAAUAAAUUAAGCUUAAGCUAUAUUUUACUUAUUAAGAAUGGGUAAACUGUUUUAAAUAGAAAAAUUAAGUGCUUAUAUCAGGUAAACUAUCAAUUUUACAAAGUUUUCUGGUAAAUUAGAUAUAUAGUCUAAUUUGAAGAGUUGUGUUGACCUUUACUUUUGUUAAAUUAUAUAGUUUAAUUGCGUCCUCUUUUUCCAAUCCUUAUAUAUCUGCUCAACUCUUGGUCAAUUAUUUGCCAGUAGGAAUGUUUAAUUGCUUGAUCAAUGAUGUCCAUUCAAUUUGGAGAAGAAAUAGGACUUUUGUCCAAUAGGGAUUUGAAAUAGGGAUUGAGACUCACAUAUGAGUAAGAUGUCUCAAUUGUUCAUUGAUUCUUAGGUGCUAUGUCUUUUUAGUUGCUUUGUGGGGAAACUAUUCAUGCCUGUUGCGAUUAAUACAUUCAAGUUCCCGCAGCAACGCGCGGGCAU